GGAUAACAGUGAGAAAUCAUUGCUAAUACCGCAUAUGCCAUAGUUAUCGCAUGAUAAUAGUGGGAAAGGAGCAAUCCGCUGAUAGAUGAGCUUGCGUCUGAUUAGCUAGUUGGUGGGGUAACGGCCUACCAAGGCGACGAUCAGUAGCCGGACUGAGAGGUUGAACGGCCACAUUGGGACUGAGAUACGGCCCAGACUCCUACGGGAGGCAGCAGUCGGGAAUAUUGCGCAAUGGAGGAAACUCUGACGCAGUGACGCCGCGUAUAGGAAGAAGAUUUUCGGAUUGUAAACUAUUGUCCCAUGGGAAGAUAAAAGACUGUACCUGUGAAGAAAGCUCCGGCUAACUACGUGCCAGCAGCCGCGGUAAUACGUAGGGAGCAAGCGUUAUCCGGAAUUAUUGGGUGUAAAAGGUGCGUAGACGGGAUAACAAUUUGGUUGUGAAACCCCUCGGCUCAACUGAGGAACUGCAACCAAAACUAUUAUUCUUGAGUGCAGGAGAGGAAAGUGGAAUUCCUAGUGUAGCGGUGAAAUGCGUAGAUAUUAGGAAGAACACCGGUGGCGAAGGCGACUUUCUGGACUGUAACUGACGUUGAGGCACGAAAGUGUGGGGAGCAAACAGGAUUAGAUACCCUGGUAGUCCACACUGUAAACG
rnacentral:rRNA from 1 species